rnacentral:rRNA from 1 species
AACGAACGCUGGCGGCAUGCCUAACACAUGCAAGUCGAACGAGACCUUCGGGUCUAGUGGCGCACUGGUGCGUAACGCGUGGGAACCUGCCCUUAGGUUCGGAAUAACUCCCCGAAAGGGGUGCUAAUAUCGGAUAAUGUCUUCGGACCAAAGAGUUAUGGCCAUUGGAUGGGCCCGCGUUGGAUUAGAUAGUUGGUAAGGUAAAAGCCUACCAACGUGACGAUACAUAGCUGGUCUGAGAGGAUGAUCAGCCACACUGGGACUGAGACACGGCGCAGACUCCUACGGGAGGCAGCAGUAGAGAAUAUUGGACGAUGGGCGAAAGCGUGAUCCAGCAAUGCCGCGUGAGUGAGGAAGGCCUUAGAGUUGUACAGCUCUUUUACCCGGGAUGAUAAUGACAGUACCGGGCGAAAAAGCUCCGGCUAACUACGUG